rnacentral:rRNA from 1 species
CAGUAGCCGCGGUAAUACAGAGGAUGGAAGCGUUAUCCGGAAUGAUUGGGCGUAAAGCGUCUGUAGGUGGCUUUUCAAGUCCGCCGUCAAAUCCCAGGGCUCAACCGUGGACAGGCGGUGGAAACUACCAAGCUGGAGUACGGUAGGGGCAGAGGGAAUUUCCGAUGGAGCGGUGAAACGCGUUGAGAUCGGAAAGAACACCAACGGAGAAAGCACUCUGCUGGGCCGACACUGACACUGAGAGACGAAAUCUAGGGGAGCAAAUGGAUUAGAUACCCCCGUAGUCCCUGUCUCUUAUACA